UAUUCCCCACUGCUGCCUCCCGUAGGAGUCUGGUCCGUGUCUCAGUACCAGUGUGGGGGACCUUCCUCUCAGAACCCCUACGCAUCGCCGCCUUGGUGGGCCGUCGCCCCGCCAACCAGCUAAUGCGCCGCAUGCCCAUCCCGUACCGCCGGAGCUUUCCCCCCGGGAGGAUGCCCUCUCGGGGACUACGGGGUAUUAGACCAAAUUUCUCUGGAUUAUCCCCCUGUACGGGGCAGGCUGCAUACGUGUUACUCACCAGUGCGCCGGUCGCCAUCAGGCAUAUUGCUAUGCCCAUGCUGCCCCUCGACUUGCAUGUGUUAAGCCUGCCGCCAGCGUUCAUCCUGAGCCAA
rnacentral:rRNA from 1 species